rnacentral:misc_RNA from 1 species
CGAAGGUUAAUUGAGCUAGAUCAGAUUCACCACUCACUAUAUUCUCAUAAAUCCCCGGGAUAUUGCUUUGCUACACAAACAUUUCGUUCAUAGCUCAAAACCCGGAAGUUCAUGUAGAUAAAUCCAAAAAUGGCGACAAAUUCAACGCACAAAUGCUGCUGCUUCAAACAAUGCACUACAAAAAGUGAACUUUUAGAUCCAGAAAAUUCAUCCAGAGUAGAAGUGAAGACAACUUUUCCUAAGUCUCUGAUAAAAAGUAAAUCAUUAAUAGACUGGUCAUCUAAAGGUGAAGCUAAAUUCCAUCUUGCUUGCUGGGAGCUUAUUCAAAAUGCAUCAAAAUCUAGGGGCAGAAAACAAAAGAUCAGUUUAACAAAUCAAGAAAAAGCAAUGGUAAAGGAGGCUUCUGAUACUGCAGAAUUUCACGACUCUCAUGAUGUGAUUAAGGAAAAAGCUGCCAAAGUUGCAGAGCUAAUUAAGAAAGCGAAACAUUGUGUGGUUUUUACUGGAGCUGGUAUAUCAACAAGUGCAGGUAUAGGAGACUACAGGGGUAAAAGUGGUAAAUGGACUGAGAUGGAUAGACAGAACGACGAGCCAGAGCCUAAGAAACAAUGCAAAGAGCCUGAAGAUGAAGCAGGCAUCAGUCACUCAGAUUCCGAGGAUGGUGAGCUAGUACUUCCUGAUGAAGAUGGUGUUGAUUAUGAAGACUUGAGACCCACAUACACACAUGAAGCCCUCAAAAAGCUUGUGGACAUGAAUCUAUUGAAAUAUGUCAUCAGUCAAAAUGGAGAUGGCUUACAUGGUUUAUCAGGGAUUCCAAGAGAAAAACUAGCCGAGUUACAUGGCAAUGUCUUCAUAGAGAAAUGUGAAAGUGCCAAACAGUCUAUGAAAGAGAUCAUUACGUGUUAGAUGACCAUUGCAGCUUAUACUAUGAGGAACUAGAGGAGAAUGGAGAAACUGACAUUAUAAAACCUAAACAUGCAAAACAAUGCUCACUGUGUCAGUUGAGCCAUAGGACAGGCAGAAAAUGCACCAAAAAGGGCUGCAAAGGCUACCUAAUGGACAGCAUUAUUAACUUCCGAGACAAUCUUGAUGAUGCCAUCUUAGAUGGUGCCAUUAACAAUGCAGAGAUGUGUGAUGUUAUGAUCUCUCUUGGAAGCACCAUGACUGUAACACCUGCCAAUUCUCUAAUAGAUACUAGUCCAAAAAUGAUGAGCCUGAUAAUAUGCAACAGGCAGGUGACAGAUUAUGAUCAUAUAUGCCAGGGAAAGGCCAGGAGGUUCUCUGAAGGUGUUAGGGUGUUUGGGGACUGUGAUACCCUCAUGAAGGAGAUAAUGCCACUAAUACUGACAAGUAAAGAACUGAGUGACUGGGAAAAUGAGCAAUCUUUGAGAUUGAAGCAAUAUAAUAGUAAACGAAAAUGA